rnacentral:rRNA from 1 species
GCUCUCUUUUGGUACGUCAUUAUCGUCCCAAAAGACAGGAGUUUACAAUCCGAAAACCUUGCGUCCUCCACGCGGCGUUGCUGCAUCAGAGUUUCCUCCAUUGUGCAAUAUUCCCCACUGCUGCCUCCCGUAGGAAUUCCUCACUGCUGCCUCCCGUAGGA